CUAAACAAUCAUCAAUUUUUUUUAGAUGAUUUAUGCAGUGUUAUAUAGCCUAUAACGAAAAAAGCAAUGGACAAAUCUGAGGCCCCUAAAUAAACUAUCAAGGCCUGGGAUCCAUGGCCCCCCUCUUAAUCUGGGCUUGGUCACAGGGACUUCUAAAAUGUAAUUUAUUUCAAAAUUAAAUGAAUAAUUAGUAUGCCUGUUGUGUGUAUAAUAAUAAAAUAGCCAAAUGUCUAGCAGUUUGUCAUAUGAAAAUAAACUUGAAUGAUUUAAAUGUAAGAAAAGAAUGUUGACAGUUUCAUUAUCACAUUGCCUAAAAAAACAUCACCCAUUGAUUACGUCUAGUCAACAUAAAUAUUUUUAGAAAUAAUGAUAUAAUUUCUUACAUAUUUUAUUUUUAGGUGUUGUCAAACAUUACUAGAAAAGAAUAUAAAUUUGUAGAUAACGCCGGCAAUUUCAUUAUUGUCGGUAUCAUAUUAAGUAAUUUAAAUUUGAUGAAAACACGAAGGCUGUAAUUUGACUUCCAUAAAAAUAAUGUCAGAAUUGUCAUUGUAUUUUAUUAAGGCUAUUGAAGGCGAUCCAUUUUUAAGGGGUCAGAUUUAAGCAAUAUCCAUAUCCAUAGUGAUUGAUGGGUGUCUGUUGGUAAAGCUACAGAUCAUUAGUGUGUACGAGCUCCACGAAUGCUAUA